rnacentral:rRNA from 1 species
UGCCUACGGGGGGCAGCAGUGAGGAAUAUUGGUCAAUGGGCGGAAGCCUGAACCAGCCAAGUCGCGUGAGGGAAUAAGGCCCUACGGGUCGUAAACCUCUUUUGCCGGGGAGCAAGGGCCGGGACGAGUCCCGGUCCGGAGAGUACCCGGAGAAAAAGCAUCGGCUAACUCCGUGCCAGCAGCCGCGGUAAUACGGAGGAUGCGAGCGUUAUCCGGAUUUAUUGGGUUUAAAGGGUGCGUAGGCGGUCUGGCAAGUCUGAUGUGAAAUACCGGGGCCCAACUCCGGGACUGCAUUGGAAACUGUC